rnacentral:sRNA from 1 species
AAGUUAUCUACGCCAUUGGUUUUUGUUUCUGAGCACAACAGCUUCUAUUUAUAAAUGCUGGUAUCUUUCGCGUAGAACAGUUGUGUUUAUGUCGUGCCUUUCUUAGUAUUUGUUUCACACGCCUGGACAUCAAAUAAUGGAAGUAGCUUCUCUAACAUUCACAUGAAUACUUACAACUGUUCAGCAAACCGGAAUUAGCAUACACUAAUUAGACUAACAUGAAUGAAAACAAGGCCAUCAUGUCGACUGAACUUGCUGGAGGACGAUACGAGGGUAUUUACGAGAUUGGCGAAGAUGAAUAUGAAUGCAGCCUCCAGUUUGUGUUUGGUUGUCCGAAAGAGAAAAGGCACAAAGAGUACAUACCUGCCAAUGUGUUUUCCUAUCAAGAUCUUCCUGAACGCUAUCGUGACAUCAAUCUGUUUCAACUGAUCCAGGUCAUCUCUUUCUUGACGGUAAAGGUUACUGUUCAGUACACCAGCCUCAACAGGCCGCAGCAUGUACAGAACACUAAUCGUCCGUAUCCGUUUGGUGCUGAGAGAGGGAGCUCCAAAACUCGGGUAGGCACGGGACGAAUCGGGACUGUUUGGAAAUUUGGUGAGGCAGACGGCCGUAGUUGCCCUUGCACCUGAGUGCCAAAGAUCAGAUAACCCAAAGAAAACCUGGGGAUUGAUCCGAGUUAUCACCGCUGUCCAUGUAGUUUACGACACAUCUGAAGCUGUCCAAUCGACUUGCCGCUUUGGCUUCAAUGACAGUUGCAGCCCGGAAGUCGUGUUCCAGGGCGUGGACAUGGAGAGGGCAGACGUGAAUGACGAUAGAUGUCACCUGUCGUGCGUCACACAUAACGUGGCGCUCAUUGACAGUCUAAAAGGCCAGUGGAGUCGCUACACCACCUUGCACAAAAAAGUUAUGGGCAGAUUUCGAAGCCCCGAGGACAGACUGGUCGCCAUCGUCUCUCACCCUCACGGGUGUUCCAAACAAAUUUCCCUUGGCGAGUGGACGCACAAGGAUGUCACCGGCGAGUCUUCGCCUGGGCACCCAUUUGUAAAGUACACCUACACGGCCGCCACUUGCAGAGGGUCAAGUGGGGCAACCGUGUACAUCAUGGGCAGGUCCUGGGCACUUUGGUAUAAUCAAAUACACAGUGGCUUUAACGAUCAUGAACAAUACAACUUCAGUGGCAACGGAUGUGAUUGAGUAUUUGAGUGUACCUAGAAGACAUGGUUUAGUAGUGUCAGUCUACCCAGAGGACAUGGCUUGGUAUUGUCAUUCUUGGUCAAGACAGCGGAAGUAGUACCCGUCUCAUCUACGCACACUUUCAAUUUAAAGUGUCGGGCGUGACUGGCUGUUGACUAAUUGAUGUUAAGUGAUGUGCCGUACGUGACUGGCUGUUGACUCAUUGAUGUUAAGUGAUGUGCCGUACGUGACUGGCUGUUGACUCAUUGAUGUUAAGUGAUGUGCCGUACGUGACUGGCUGUUGACUCAUUGAUGUUAAGUGAUGUGCCGUACGUGACUGGCUGUUGACUCAUUGAUGUUAAGUGAUGUGCCGUACGUGACUAGCCAGAUUUUUAGAACAAGAACAUUUUAAACUCGCAGUUUCCAUUAACAAUCUUGUUUUUACGUCAUGUGAUAAUUUUAUUUUUAGCACUGCAGAUUCUAAGCUCUUCAGUUCGUAUCUCUUUUUUUUAAAAUUAAGUUGGCAACAUUUAAGAUACAAUAUCGCAACCUUGACAUCUUGAAAACCCGCAGUAUAGGCCCUACUGGGAAAUAAAUAACUGCUUCCACACUAACACAUGUUCGACUCACUGCAUCAUGUUAUAAAAAUAAACUAUUUGAAGUAAAAGACUUUGUUUCAUCUUUUAAGUAAGACCUUUCAAAAUGUAGACUGUUUUCGAGAAUGAGGUCUGCAACAAUUCAAAACCUUUUUAAGAAGACGUUUCAAAACGCGAUUCUUACCAGUAGGUCAGGAAGGUCGAAUUUUCAGACAUAGUAAUACAUUGAUAUGUUAAUGACAUAUGCGUAACAAAAUGAGCCCAAGUAAGCCAAUGUCUUGUCCACUUAAUCAAUUGUAUGAAGAUCUAUUUAAAUAUAACAUGGCGCUUACUUUUAAAAAAAACUCACAGAUUUUCGUCCCUUUAAUUCUUCUAAAUGUUUAUUCCCUUGAACUAUUUUUUGCAUUUUAUCUUUAUCUUGGAUGCGCGGUGGCUGAGCGGUAAAGCGCUUUGCUUCCGAACCAGCGAGCG